GCUCAGGAAAAGGUACCUGAGCUCAGACCCGGUGCCUGUGUUAACGACUCCAGAACACUGCCAAACUGUUAAUUUCGUCAAGGCACACUCCCUCAUGGAUGAUGCAGUGCAAUCUUACUUUUCGAUAACUAAAACCAGUUUCAAGUAAAGGAAGUGCUACUGGCUCAGCAUGUCCUGAUAAGCGUAAACACUGACUCUGUUAGAGACGACUUUUUUCAUGGAAAGAACGUGAUAAUGUGUCUACAAAUACGUUAAAGAU